AGAUUUGAAACAUCGCCUUGAAUUUGCACUACAAAAUAAGUGUUACUUUUUGACGGUUUUAUUGCAGAGGUUAAUAAUGACCUCCGCAAAUUGCUUCAAUUUUGGCGUUUCAGCUAGCCUCCGCUAUUCUAAUACAAUUUUCGGAGGUUUCUUAAAAUAAAACCUCCGUAAUAAAAUUAUUUGCCUAAUUUUUGGUUGGCGGGCCUUUAUUUCCCCUUUCCCUCUAAUUUUUUUUUUCUUUCUAACCCCCUUUCCCUCUCAUUCUACUAAACUGUACAGAUCCAACCAAACCCUAACCCCCUCUCUUAUUCAAUCAAAGUUCUGGGGUUCUCACAAUUCCCUCUAAUCGUGACAUCCGUCACCUCACAAAAGCUAGAUGAAGAAGGGUUUGCGAAACUUUGGAGCGAGAUACUGAAGAUUUUCUUUUCUUUCACAGCUCAAAAUUUCUCUUUUGUUUUGUUUUUGAUUCCUACUCAUCUCAAAUCAGCCAUUGGUUGGUUCUGAUGCAGAUAUGGAGUAUGGAUUCGUGUGCUCUGAUGAGGUGCCCAAUGAACAUGACUUUGAUGUUGAGAACCGAUACUACAACUCAAGAGGUUUUAUCUUUAAAAUUUCAAUUUUCAUGAAGACUAAAUGUUUAGGGCUUAUUUUCAGACCCUUUAACUGUUCGUCUAGCAAUGGAUAAUACUAUUUCAACUACUUUGGACUCCUCUAUGCAUUCAAAAAUACUACAGAGCUUUCAUUUUCAACUCUAUUUUUCGAUAUCCUAUUGAAUUGUCAUAUAAAUCUGUAUUUAUAAUCUGGAUGCUAUAUAAUUGAAAUAUUGAUAAUGUUAUUUUCUGUUAUUAGACUAUUUGAUGGAAUGACUCUCUUAGACUGGAAUGUUCUGCCCAUUUUUCUUUAGCUAAGGGUUAUGGAUGAGUUAAUUUAUGCCAUGCUAGUGAUGCUUAGUGAAGUUUUUAGACUAGAAUGUUAGCUCUAAUGUCUUUAACUCACUGAAUAUUUACCUUUGAUAAUAUGUUUUUAUAUUUAUGUUAUAGUAGGUUAGUUUAAUAUUUUUUACCAAAUUACCAAUCAAUGCUCGUUAUAAAAAUUUACAUGUAAACUUUAAAAAUGAUCUAAUUCUUAGAGUAAUAUUUAUCGGCCUGAUUGCUUCUUAUAAAAAUUUACCUUUGAGAGUAAUGUCUAUUGAGCUGAUGCCUUACUGCCAUUUGUUUGUGAGAGCAAUGUUUCCCUUUUUGCUUGUCUAUUGAAUUCUUUUUUUACAGUGUACAGAACAUUGAGGUAGAAUGUCUGCUUUUGUGUUCUAUUCCUUGCUUUAGAUUGAUGAUAUGGUUGAAAAGAUUCAACUACGUGGCUAUCACCACUAGGAAAAUGUGUUGUAAGAAAUACAUGUAUGAACUGUCACCACUGUAAGAUUGUGUUAAAACGUCAAUAUGCAUAUCUGUUUAUCCAACAUGGCACUAUUUAUGACUAUAUUAGUGAAAUACUAUUAUGCUUGUGUAGCUUUGCUGGAUGUAAUUUCUUCUGAAAUAUGGAUUACUGUUCGCCUUAUAGUCGAUCCAGAAAAAACCUUACUGUUUUACUUAAUUUCCACUAUGAAUUCAUGAGAUAACGAGUGAGGUUUCUUUCUUUUCAGGUUCACUUAGAGUAGAAUGUAUUGACCUCUAAUGCCUCUUAGACUAGAGUGCAUUAACCUCUAUUAUCUUUUAGAUUAUAAUUAUCACAUUGGAUGCCUUUGUAGAAACAAUACUGAUGAUUGGAUCUCUAGUGAUGAUAUUGACAAUUCGUUGUGAAUGAAAUCAAACAGCAUUAUUGUAUCUUUUGCUUCUUGUAACAAAAUCCCAGUUCUACUAUACUAUUAUUCUACUUGUCCAAAAUCUUUGCUAUCUGUAAUUCUUUGCCUAGUUAGACGUAUAUUCUUCUUUUUUAUGCAAGAUAUACAUCCGCAUGGUCACUAUUCAUUAAUCUUUGAUAGAACUUUCAGUAACAUUAGAUGGCUUGGACUCGCUAGUCAAAACUUUGAUUAGUAACUAAUGUUUAUCAUUAAAAUGACUGCAAUAGGUAACUGAAUUCUUUUUGUUUUAUCUUGUUGAAUAAGAGAUUUGUUUUCACAUUAGAGGUUCUUCUCUGAUGCCAAGUUUACUUUCACUUUUUUCUUUUUUGGAUAAAAGACUUAUUCGAUGCAAUUUUAAUGAAAAUUGUAUUUGCGAAUGAACUUUACUCAGGAAUCAUUGCGUUUAUAUCUCACCUCUAGGCAUGUGGCAUGAUUUAUGCUUCAUCUUCUUUCUUGAUAUUGCAAGCUUCUUGAAUAGUUUUCUUAACAAUUGGAAUAAAAUAAUAUUAACUAUUCUACACAUACUUUGAUGUUGAACUCAACGUAUUUGAUUCUGCAUAAUUAUUCUCAUUUUGGACAAUCUUAAUUGACUCGUGACUUAUUGAAUAUGCAUGAAAGUUCAUGAUAUAGUCCCAGAUGGGGUGAGAAUGUAACCCCUAUAUGUAGUUGAUGCGAAUAUGCUUGAGAUUUCUUAUUAAGAAAACUCUGUAAGUAUUUUUCAAGUCAUCUGUUGUCUCUGAACGUUUUACGGGUUGAAUCAUGUAUAUUGGUUGGUCCUUUGCUACUUCUACAGAUCAUAUAUCAUUGGAGGAUGAUAGCAAUUUGGCCUGAUAUCUUCCUUUCGCAAAGUUCUUUGAGAUCAUGUGUUUGAAAGAUUCACCAUUGUACGCAUUUAAAUCAUCAGUUUGUUUAAUAUAUGAUUCAAUACUAAAAACAUGAAGGUACGCAUUUACUUCAGCUCAUAAUUGUUUCCAUUUCAAUUCAUAGACAACAUAAACAUGGAUACGAAAUAGAUUAGCACUAUGAAUACAGAUCAUAUAACCUCAAGUACUGCUUCAUUGAGAGGAACAAGUUCCUUUUGUCAUUCAUCAUAAAGAAAAAGUUUUUUGGUGCAGGUUGAAAUUGGAAACUACACAUCAUUCUAUGAGUUUGACAUUGGUCUUCUCUCCUAAGAGGUAUUUACCUUGCAACUGUUACAACAUUUGCAAAAAGUAGCAGCAACAUUCACCUUUUACACUUGUAAUAAUACUUUCUAGAUUCUGAACCUAACAAAGGAGACAGGAGAUUUUUAUCGGUGUUGAAUGACAAACUUCCUCUUUCCAUUUCUACAUUCUGGUGAAAAAUCUUGUAGCUUUUAUUUUGUUCUACAAUGUUGUAGCAACAUUCCAUUGUGUUCGGCUAUUUGUAUUGUACCCUUUAUAUCAACUGAGCUGAUGUUUUGCGUGUAAAUUUGAAUUACCUUAGUUAGUAUCAAUAUAGUUUGAUAAGGAUUGGAAUUUUUUA